AUGCUAUCUUCUCAUGAUUUCAUCCUCGUUGUCACAACACUGUGGGCCAUUUGGUAUGCGAGGCGACAGGCAUUCCACGAACAUAUUUUUCAAAGUCCUCUUUCGACAUACAAUUUCAUUCCGAAAUAUAUUCGAGAACUGGAGGAUUGCAAGACGAAGAAGAAUCCAAGGGUGGCCGAAGCGGUUGAACCGGUACUGCCAAGAUGGGUCGCUCCGUCGGAAGGGAUAGCAAAAUUCCGAGUCGAUGGGGCUGUCUCCAGAGACGGUAACUUUGGUUCGUUUAGUGUUGUAUGCAGAAGUUCUUCAGGAGCUUAUUCAGGAGCCUCGGCCAUCAAGAUCGAAGGAAUUUCGGAUCCGGCGACUUUGGAAGCUUUGGCUUGUCGCGAAACGCUUGCUCUUGCUAUGGAUCUUGGCCUUGCUAGAAUCCUCAUAGCAAGCGACUGUCAAGAAGUUGUGAAUGAUAUAAAAAACUGCACAGGUUGUGUCUAUGCUAGUACUAUUAGAGAGAUAGUGGAAUCAAAGAAUAACUUUGAUUGUUGCACCUUCAUGUUUGAGGGUAGGGCAACGAAUGUUGAGGCACAUAGCCUCGCUAAGCAUGCUUUUGGUUUGGAUUUGGGCGCCAUGUGUGGCUGUUAA
rnacentral:rRNA from 1 species